rnacentral:lncRNA from 1 species
CAGUGGGACCGAGCCUCUCUCUCUCUCUCUCUCUCUCUCUCUCUAUCUCUCUCUCUCUCUUUUUUUUCCCCCGGCAGAGAGAGGAAAACACGCGAGUGCACACACGGUGAUAUCUUGCGGGUGAUGAAUAUGAUAAUUGGACAAGGGACUUCGGGACGACUGGAUCGCCGCGCCUGGGCCGGAGCGAGCCAUCUGCGGGCACUAUGCAAAGCGGGAGACGGCGCGAGCGGCGCCCGGCUCACACUAGCUCUUCCAGGACGCAUGAGGCUGGGAGCAGAAAUAAUCAACAUGCCCAUUAGAUACAGGACGGAAUAAUGCUUCUAUUGGUUGGGUCCCUUCGACGCUGGUCAGACCAAUGAAACCACAGGACAAAGAGUUCUCUUCAAAAGGGAACAACAAGAAGGAGAGAAAAAAAAAAAAGACAACAUUCCUAGUGAUCUUUCCGUGGGAAUGCGGCAAGGAGUCAGCAGGCAUAGUGAAAAUGGGCGGCGAUGGAUACUCCCAGCACUUGCUGAGCACUGCUACGCCUCAGGACUGGGACAUUCAAUAGGACAGAAGAGCUCCUUGGCACUGGAUGCCUCCGGGUCUGGUUGAGAGAGGAAUGGUUAGGAGACUGUUCUGAGGAUACGCAGACAUCAUCCAAAGCUUCCUACAUUCAGAUGAGGACAGAGGUUGGGCCAGAGCUUUGUAAGCUUGUUACCUAAGGAUGGUUCUGACCAUGUAAGCAGAUCACAGAAGCUAUUCACAGAUCAUCAUCAGCCAGAGGUGACUUCUGUUGCUUGACAAAGGGAAAUGAAAUAAUAACGCUGACCAUUUGUGGAGCACAUUCUGGCUGGAGGCAAAGGAUGCCAAGAUGGGAAAGCCACAUAAUGGAAGGAUCCUGGAUUUCAGAGCUGUCACUUGGAGGAGGGGCACCCAGUGAAGGUGUCUUAUCUAACCCACACCAUAUCUUCAUGGAGUGGCCAUAUGGAUUUGAUCCCUAUCCUUCAGAGGUGCUCAGCCUAAGGGAACACGGAUAGUAGAUUAAGCACUGACCAGGCUCAAGUUUGUACAUUCCAACUUGUUGUUUGGGCCUUGUUGGACAUAACUGAAGUCUGGAUGGCAGGGUGAAAAUUGGAUAAACAGCCACACUGACUCAGGGGGUAUAAAUCCUGCCUUCUCUCAGCCUUACAGAGGAAGAAAACCCUUUCCAAGUUUCCUCUGAUACUGGGUUUAUGCCCAAUUAUAGUUUAGGCAUGAAGAAACUGAAGCAUGGAGGAAAAACUUAGCAACUAGCCCAACGUCACACAGGCGAGCCAGCCUUGACAAUGUGCUGAUGGCAACCUAGAACAUAAGCAGAGGAGUAUACAGGACAAGAACUUGAUGGUCUCGGGAAAAUGGACAACAUGACUCAGGUGAAAAAGAUUGAUCAUCAGAUGUUUCUUAUGUAUCAACCUGAUAUUUAAAUCCAUGAAGGACAGAGACGACAAAGGCAGGUGGAAUAGAUAGAGAAGAGAUUCAAGGUCUGAGCUCUACAUUACUCAAACUGUUAGAGAUUAGGAAGAAGAGGAAGACCUGGCAAAAGAAUGUCCUGGGAUGUAGAAAGAAAACCAGAAGCUUGUGUUCUCUGGAAACCAAAUGAAGAAAGGGCUUCCAGAAGGACAGACAAAGUGUAGUGUGUCAAAGGCUCCUGAGCAAUCAGAGGAGAGCACAAAGGGGCUCACAGGACUUUGGUAUCUGGAUCACCCAGUGACACUUCCUGAUCACGAGAAACUGUCAGACCAACAGGGGCACUUUCUGAAACCAGCAGUUCUUCAGUGCCCAAAUGCAACCUUGAUGGUUUGAUUUUGGAGGAUGGCAAUUCAUUAACAGCACUCCCCAGUGAUAAAUAUGAAAACCAAUAAAACCCCCCACCCAAGGCAAUCUCUCCCAGCUCCUCGCUUUGAGUAAAGUGAGUAACCUCCAUUUCUGCCAACUCCUGUCUUGUCUGAAGCCACAUUUCCCCAGCAAUGUCACAUAUGCAUUUCUUGAUCCUGGUCAUUUCUCCUCUUGGGAGAUGAAUCAUAAAGAAAAUGAGAUCUGUGUGCCCUGGUGACUAUGGAUGCAAGAGUCUGCUGCCCUGGAGGGAACAGCUGGAAAAGUAGAUGGUGAAGACGUGUGGGGGGGAAACAGUGGAGAAGGCAUCUUUGCAGGGGAUCAAGGUGACAGAGUGAUUAGUUACACUGUUUUGACAUGUGAGAACAGGGGGUUAUAAAAAUGGAUACAGGAAGAGGGAGAGAAAGUAAGGACCAAAACAUGAAGCCAGUCAUGAAUGUUUUUACAUAAAAAGCAGCAGAUUUACGGCAAAUAUGUGAUGUUUCCACAUUUUCUGCCUCUAGUUAGCAGGGGCAGCACAAAGAGCAUUACUGUGGAGCUGAACUUUGGGUAAAAGAUUAACAGCCAGUCCUUUCUCUCCAGUGUCUGCUUCCUUCUGGGCUUGCCCUGGGGGAAAAGGAGGGCUGGCAUGGAUAUGCCUGCAGCCCUCACCCUAGAUGUUCUUCCACGCCUCUCUGUUCAUUCAUUGCUUAGUCAUUCCUCAGGCAUGGAUUGAGACCACUGUGUGCCCAGGACCGACCUGGCCUAGGAUGGACAUAGAGAUGGAAAAGGCACAGGGAGCAGGUGACAGAGACAAAUCAAGGUCAUGGAGAAUAGCAGAGUAAGAUAGAAGAUGAAGGCAGGAGAUGGGGUUCUUGAGAAAGCGAGAGCAGGACUGACCCGUGUCUGCCUCACCUGUUAUUGCUGUAGCCUCUUCUCCUUGGAGUAUCCCUCCUGCUCUUGCAUCACCUUAGGAACUUGGAUCAGAGAGGAAAGUUACGGCCUGGAUAUGUUGUAGUAGGAGGGGACAAACAUGUUUGGAGACAGAAAUGCUUGGGGAGCGGGUGUUUUUGGGGGAUGAGACUUUCCAGGUCUCUCAAUUCACACUAUGUAGGUAGUUCACUGCACAGCUUAAAUAAGAGACAACUCUCCGGAGUGGUUGGCUCUCAUCCAAAAAAUGUGUUUUGGGCCUCAGAUUUCCAACGGAAGGGCUGAAGCGUGACUGGCCUGAUGUCAACUACUGAAGUCCACCUGCCCCUGCCCUAUCAGGUGUGGAAAUGCUGGGGUUCCUCUCUCAGAACCUACUUCCUGAGAUGUCGAAAUAUACCCAAGAGUAUUUCUGGGCCUUCUCCAAUCCGAAACUGUUUAGUUUUUGUGUGUGUGUGCCUACUUGGCCACACUAGAAGACAGAGGUGGCCUGGGUGAAAUGCAGGUUUCUAGAGGCUCUCUGACAAAGCUCAGGCCACCAGCCCCAGGCCAGCCUGUGGGUAGUCCUGGCUGACAGUCACUUCAUACCUCACCUGGGCUUUUUGCCAAAUUCAAAGUGUGUGUAUAUGUGGAGUGCUGGGUUCCCACCACUGACAGUCUGUAAGUCAUUCACUUAGCUCAAUUUGUCUUACUUUCUUCUGAAAUUUCUUCCUUCUUGUUCUUUUUCCCAGGAGAAACCAGGAGAAGGCAGUCCUAGGGCAGUCUCCGGGCCAGCUUUCCCUAAUAAGAAGGCAGAGCUCCUCUUCACCCAGACUUCAGACCUAUAGAGGCAGCCUGGGGUCCCGGGAUGCCCUUGCACUCAGAGAUGUCCCCAGAGUCCUAGGGAAAUGGAGGAUAACUAGGAGGAAGCUGUUCAUGGCUGGCGAUGAGGUCUAUACCUUCUUGUCCGUCUCAGUGCUGUCUGCUAUUGAAUUUUUGUGCAGAUCACAUUAACUUAAAGCCAGUUCUCAAGAAGCUCCCCCUGCCGCCGGCAUAUCCACCAGUUGCUCCCCUUUCCUGCCAUUAAUCAGGGUCUGCUAGUUAGAGAACAAAUUCCUAUUUGUCCAAACAGUUGCCAACACCCCCACCCCAAGGUAGUUAAAUGAGGAUGAAUGGGUCAUUCUUAUUAAAAAAUGACUUAAAUUUCUCAAAUUCUAUUUAUGUUUCUUUUACAUCCCAAUUUUCUAUAGAUUUAGUGACUCCAAAUGAUAAGGUCUCAAGCUCAUAAUAAUUUAUCCCUUGGGUAACACACAAGGCUUGGUGGUAUUUCAGUAAUAUUCAUGACAACAGCAGCUGUCGUGCUAAUAAGGACUGAUGUCACCAGAGCACUUUCUAUGUGCCAAGCAUGGUGCACAACACUUUACAUACAUUAUGUCAUUUAAUUUUCACAAAA